rnacentral:rRNA from 1 species
GGAGGCAGCAGUAGGGAAUCUUCCACAAUGGGCGAAAGCCUGAUGGAGCAACGCCGCGUGGGUGAAGAAGGUCUUCGGAUCGUAAAACCCUGUUGUUAGAGAAGAAAGUGCGUGAGAGUAACUGUUCACGUUUCGACGGUAUCUAACCAGAAAGCCACGGCUAACUACGUGCCAGCAGCCGCGGUAAUACGUAGGUGGCAAGCGUUAUCCGGAUUUAUUGGGCGUAAAGGGAACGCAGGCGGUCUUUUAAGUCUGAUGUGAAAGCCUUCGGCUUAACCGGAGUAGUGCAUUGGAAACUGGGAGACUUGAGUGCAGAAGAGGAGAGUGGAACUCCAUGUGUAGCGGUGAAAUGCGUAGAUAUAUGGAAGAACACCAGUGGCGAAAGCGGCUCUCUGGUCUGUAACUGACGCUGAGGUUCGAAAGCGUGGGUAGCAAACAGGAUUAGAUACCCUGGUAGUCCACGCC